GGAAGGAUGGCCGAGCGGUUGAAGGCAGCGGUCUUGAAAACCGCCGAUAGGAAACUAUCCUAGAGUUCGAAUCUCUAUCCUUCCGCCA
rnacentral:tRNA from 1 species